CCUACGGGUGGCAGCAGUCGAGAAUCAUUCACAAUGGGGGAAACCCUGAUGGUGCGACGCCGCGUGGGGGAAUGAAGGUCUUCGGAUUGUAAACCCCUGUCAUGUGGGAGCAAAUUAAAAAGAUAGUACCACAAGAGGAAGAGACGGCUAACUCUGUGCCAGCAGCCGCGGUAAUACAGAGGUCUCAAGCGUUGUUCGGAAUCACUGGGCGUAAAGGGUGCGUUGGCUGUUUCGUAAGUCGUGUGUGAAAGGCGCGGGCUCAACCCGCGGACGGCACAUGAUACUGGGAGACUAGAGUAAUGGAGGGGGAACCGGAAUUCUCGGUGUAGCAGUGAAAUGCGUAGAUAUCGAGAGGAACACUCGUGGCGAAGACGGGUUCCUGGACAUUAACUGACGCUGAGGCACGAAGGCCAGGGGAGCGAAAGGGAUUAGAUACCCCUGUAGUC
rnacentral:rRNA from 1 species